GUAACAUGAGUUUGAUCUUAUUUGCAUGGCAAAUGAUGAGUGCAAGGAAGGAAAGGUGCACAUGAUCAACGCUGAAGAUGUCUUCAAGGCGCUCUAUGAGAUUGAGUUCCCAGAGUUUGUUGAGCCCCUGAGAACUGCAUUGUAAGGAUAUCUGUGGCAUUUGUUCUUAUUAGGGUGUCAAUGCUGGCGAUGAAAAGAUUAUUAAUGCUCUUAUUUGGGUGUCAAUGCUGGAAGCUGCUCAUGAGAAAUGUAACUUGAAGGUAUAAUAUAUCUAUUCAAUGUCGAGCCUCUGUCCCCCUCUUCCAAAAGUUUGCUUGAUCGCGCCCGCGCCAUGGCCGCCGAGCUCCUUUUUGCUCCACCCGCCAACCAGAUUGGCCGAUGAGGCGGAUUGCCUCGAGGCGGUGGACCAUGGAGGCAAGGAGGUCAUCCAUGGGGGUGACAGUCAGCUGCGUGACAUGAAUUUUGACACUGUAUGAGAGUCAUCCUUUGCAACAACUGAUAGCUAUAUUCUUCAUACUAAUCUAUUACUGUAUCAACAACAUGAAUGGAUCAAAUCAAAAUCUUCUUUCAAGAGUAAAUGGUGCUUCUGUUGCAUCUUGUGAAAACAACAAUUACAGUAUUGAUAAAGAAACCAACUCAUCUGAGAUUAAAUCAGCAAAUAAGGUAGCAUGUCCUCUAAUUAGGUUUUUGUUCUCCAAGUUUCUUUCAGUCAAUUCUUUACCUUGUGCUUUCAGGUUUCAAACAAUAUUUAUGGUUGUUCGGAUGAAAAGAAUUGGCGAGCAUGAUUUUCCUUGUCCUCUCAAUAAUAUGAUACAACAACCGAAUAAUUGUGCUCGUGAAACAAGAAAAUGACCAAAAGCUAGCAUCACAGUUUAUGAACCUGACAUGGGUGUCUAUUUAACUUCUAAUAUGAGUUCUUUUGUUCGGCUAUAUUCUUCUGGAACAGUCACUACAGGAACAAAUCAUCGUGUUCUUCUUUUGGA